rnacentral:tRNA from 1 species
ACCUUCGUGGUGCAGUGGUCAGGACGCUGGACGCGUAUUCCAGAGGUCCGUGUUCGAAACCCAGCGAAGGGG